ACAGUUUGAGUCAAAACAAGACCACAUUCAAUUAUAUAUUAGCUGGGAGAGAGCAUACAUGUAUAUGCCAUAUAUAGAUCAAGGCGGAUCAACUACUUGAUUAAUGAGUUAUUAUUUAACCAUAUGUAUUAUAUCUCUCAAAGAUCGAUCAGGCCUAUACAUAUAGAUUAAUUAGCUGAUCAAACAGUUCCACUAGCUGGAAAUCAAUCGUGUUCCACCAGAUGAUGCAAAAUAGUUAUCGAUCAACGCUAGCUCUAGCUAGCUAGCUAGGUACGUAAUCAUGCAUGAAUCAUGACUAUGAUUAAGUGUAAUCGCGUAUGUUAAUUAGCUCAAAGCCUCAGCGACAAGUCGAUCUCCUCCCCGUUCCGGCCGUAGAGCCCGCC
rnacentral:lncRNA from 1 species